ACAAGCGGUGGAGCAUGUGGUUUAAUUCGAUGAUACGCGGAGGAACCUUACCUGGGCUACAAAUGUAUGUUGACGUAUUCUGAAAGGGAUACUUCUUCGGACAAUAUACAAGGUGCUGCAUGGUUGUCGUCAGCUCGUGCCGUGAGGUGUCGGGUUAAGUCCCAUAACGAGCGCAACCCCUAUCAUUAGUUGCCAUCAGGUCAAGCUGGGGACUCUAAUGAAACUGCCUACGCAAGUAGUGAGGAAGGUGGGGAUGACGUCAAAUCAGCACGGCCCUUACGUCCGGGGCGACACACGUGUUACAAUGGGUGGUACAAAGGGCAGCUACCUGGCGACAGGAUGCUAAUCUCGAAAACCGCUCUCAGUUCGGAUCGGAGUCUGCAACUCGACUCCGUGAAGCUGGAUUCGCUAGUAAUCGCGCAUCAGCCACGGCGCGGUGAAUACGUUCCCGGGCCUU
rnacentral:rRNA from 1 species